AGAGUUUGAUCCUGGCUCAGAUUGAACGCUGGCGGCAGGCCUAACACAUGCAAGUCGAGCGGAUGAAGAGAGCUUGCUCUCUGAUUCAGCGGCGGACGGGUGAGUAAUGCCUAGGAAUCUGCCUGAUAGUGGGGGGCAACGUUUCGAAAGGAACGCUAAUACCGCAUACGUCCUACGGGAGAAAGCAGGGGACCUUCGGGCCUUGCGCUAUCAGAUGAGCCUAGGUCGGAUUAGCUAGUUGGUGAGGUAACGGCUCACCAAGGCGACGAUCCGUAACUGGUCUGAGAGGAUGAUCAGUCACACUGGAACUGAGACACGGUCCAGACUCCUACGGGAGGCAGCAGUGGGGAAUAUUGGACAAUGGGCGAAAGCCUGAUCCAGCCAUGCCGCGUGUGUGAAGAAGGUCUUCGGAUUGUAAAGCACUUUAAGUUGGGAGGAAGGGCAUUAACCUAAUACGUUAGUGUUUUGACGUUACCGACAGAAUAAGCACCGGCUAACUUCGUGCCAGCAGCCGCGGUAAUACGAAGGGUGCAAGCGUUAAUCGGAAUUACUGGGCGUAAAGCGCGCGUAGGUGGUUUGUUAAGUUGAAUGUGAAAGCCCCGGGCUCAACCUGGGAACUGCAUCCAAAACUGGCAAGCUAGAGUAUGGCAGAGGGUGGUGGAAUUUCCUGUGUAGCGGUGAAAUGCGUAGAUAUAGGAAGGAACACCAGUGGCGAAAGCGACCACCUGGGCUAAUACUGACACUGAGGUGCGAAAGCGUGGGGGAGCAAACAGGAUUAGAUACCCUGGUAGUCCACGCCGUAAACGAUGUCGACUAGCCGUUGGGAUCCUUGAGAUCAUAGUGGCGCAGCUAACGCAUUAAGUCGACCGCCUGGGGAGUACGGCCGCAAGGUUAAAACUCAAAUGAAUUGACGGGGGCCCGCACAAGCGGUG
rnacentral:rRNA from 1 species